rnacentral:rRNA from 1 species
CCUACGGGUGGCAGCAGUGAGGAAUAUUGGUCAAUGGACGAGAGUCUGAACCAGCCAAGUAGCGUGAAGGAUGACUGCCCUAUGGGUUGUAAACUUCUUUUAUAUGGGAAUAAAAUGUUCCACGUGUGGGUUUUUGUAUGUACCCUAUGAAUGAGGAUCGGCUAACUCCGUGCCAGCAGCCGCGGUAAUACGGAGGAUUCGAGCGUUAUCCGGAUUUAUUGGGUUUGAAGGGAGCGUAGGUGGAUUGUUAAGUCAGUUGUGAAAGUUUGCGGCUCAACCGUAAGAUUGCAGUUGAGACUGGCAGUCUUGAGUACAGUAGAGGUGGGCGGAAUUCGUGGUGUAGCGGUGAAAUGCUUAGAUAUCACGAAGAACACCGAUUGCGAAGGCAGCUCACUGGACUGCAACUGACACUGAGGCUCGAAAGUGUGGGUAUCAAACAGGAUUAGAUACCCCAGUAGUC